rnacentral:snRNA from 1 species
GACUGUUAUAACUCUUUUAAAUUUGUCUAGUAGGUUUCUGGCUUUAGCUGGAAGACCCUU